UGGAAUGUUUUUUUCUUAAAAAACUUCGAGAGAGAAAAACCCUUUUGAUAAUUAAAUCCCAGCCUGAGAAAGAUAUUUCCAUUAAAGAGACAGAUUUUCUGUGCGAGAAUUCAGGAAAGGAGCAGUAUCUUUAUUGGAAGUUGUGUUUAGCAGGUGAUGACAAGUGGUUUUAUCUCCUUCWCUUGCUCUCCCUUCUCCCUGGGCCCUGCCUUUCAGAUUUGGGGAUAUCUGAGCYGGUUCCUGAAAAGACUCUUCCUCCAUAACAUCACUAAAGGCAAACCUGAUGUAAUUGUCAGUAUUUUGGCCUACAAAGUUCUGCUGACACCACCUGAUGCUGUCAUAACAGAAAAAUGUUUUUUUCUGGAUCUCUCUUUAUCUCACAGCUUCUGUUUCUCAGCGCUCAAUGUUAAUGGAGAAGUUGUGGUAGAAAAUCUGGAUGGAAACUUCUGUCCCAGAAACCACUAUGAGUUGUUUGCUUUGUCCUGUUCCUUUUCUGUUUGUAACCCUUCAUCGUCCCUUUCCUGCCUUCUACAAUGUAAAGAAGAAGCUAAGAUCAGCUGGUGAAGGGUUUCCUGUAUUUAUUACAUCAUUUAGAGGCAAUAUGAACAUCUGCACUUUCCAUUAGUCACUCACUAAAAGGCCAAAGAGAAAUCAUCCCCAAGGUCACAGGAAAGGCAAGGGUUACCAUUGCUCUAGGCCAAGACAUUACAAUACUGAUGAUGACAAAACUAUUUGGCAGAGAUGCCAACAAUGCCAGAAAACAAGCCACCAUCCUAAUCAAGGGCAGUAUUUUGAUUGCUCAGAAAGCCAGCCCAGCUCCCUGCUGUCAGACUGUGACAAUCCCCAGCUGGCAGCCCCGGGCUGAUGGGCUGUGUCCCCAGCCCAGUGCCAUUCCAGCUCCCCAAAGUGCUUUGCCAAGGCUGGGAGAGUCUGUACACACACAGCUCCCAGGGGCUGUACCUGGAUAAACAGCAACGUGGACAUUGUGCAGGAGAAAUUCCCCAAGAGCACAGGAGCCAGCACAAGAAAUGCAGUUUGGAUCACUCAGGGUGGCUGCAGCACAUCUCCACCACCUUUCCUUGCUGACGUGGUCCUUGCUUGUUCCAAACAGGUGCUUCAUUCUUCCCCUGGCACACACGACUGGCUCCAGGGCACGUGGAAGGAAAGGUGGCAAGCUGAAAACCAAGAGAAACUCCUGGGAAAUAAGCAUGGUGGCAAAGAGCAAAGCACAACCUUCCUGAACACAGACAUUCUCCCUGCUGGCAGCUGCAGAGGAGCAGCUCUGUGUUAAGCAAUGCUUACGGUGUGCCCAGGGCAUCAAACCAGAAAAUCUGAGACAGAGGGCCCAGAUGCAGAAUUUCCUGCUCUAACCUGAACCAARUGCCCCUGAAUGCAGCUCCCCUCGAGAUGUCCCUGUUCACAGCCUCGCUGGUGGCCAGCAUCCAGACUGAGCAUUAGUAAAACUAACAAACCAAACAGUUCCCACACAGGGACCACCAUUUCUCCAUGGUUCUGUACCUGSAUAGCCUUGCAGUGCCACCUUCUCUAGGAUUUUCAGUGGAAUCCGGGACACUUGGUUUGGUGAUCCACAGCUGCUCCAUUCCACCUCUUGGAUAAUGCUGCUGAAGUCCACCAGAAGGAGCCUUUGUGUGUCAGUUUUGCAUAAGCCCUAAAGAGAAUAUUAACAUGUUCUCCUGUUAUUGCAGGARAAGCACAGGGUGGUGUCAGCAAAGUGGCUCUGCCAAGCUCCUGCAGUUUUGAUCUGAUGGCUGGAUUUUAUCUGUCGGUGCUUCGUGGAGGAGGAUGAUUGCUUAUCACAAGGACGGGGAGGAAAAAAAUAGAAGAAAAUUAAUUAACUUCCAUAAAGGAUGUGGCAGAACGGAGGCGGCCUCCCCCAGCCACGGCAGCAGCACCAGGGGGUUUGUGGUGUUCAUUUAGCUUUAACUCCUUUCUUCUGCUCUGCCUGUAAGAGAACUCCUGUUYCUGCCUCGAGGGAAGAAGAGGAGCUGGGGUUUCACCUUUGAGAAAUGUGGGGCUCAUAUUUGAAGAAGAAAAAGCUUGUGCUGUUUCUGCCCCCCUGACCAGUGCAAGCAUCGAGAACAGAGAUUCUGCUGGUCUCCAUGGAGAACUUUGCCAGCCCUGCCUGCCCUGCAGAGGAGCCCGAGUCUGGUUGGAUGAUUUGAAUCCUUGCCAUCMUUUGGAGCAGAAUGAAGCUCUGUAAAGGGACGGUGACUGAAUGCCAACUGGGCUGUCAUUAGCUCGGGCGGCCCAGGAAGCAGCUGAUGUGCAGUUUGUGGUGGAAGUCAUGCAGACACAAGGGGUGACUCAGUGGUGGAGAGGACCCAGCCCCAGGGUCCGACCCCAAAGGUGUGUUGGGGGCUGGCUGUUGGGAUGGACCAGGGACAGCUGGUGGCUGCACAGAACACAAAGCUCCAUGGACCAUCCAUUURCAGAAAGCUGUCAAUUCUGCAGCGAUGUUGGGUGCUGCUGGCCCAGCUCCAUCUUUCUUCCACAGUAAUCAAAGGAAAUGUGCCCUAGUCUUGAAGUCUGGUGCUUCAGGACUGAAAAGCUUAAUGGCUUUCCUUGGCUUUUUUUUUUUUUUUUUUUUUUUUUUUUUUUUUU